UAUGGCUACACAUAUGCCAUCUUCAGAGUCGACAGGUAUGAAAAGUUUACAAAUGUCUUGUGUAAUUCUCGUGCCUUUGACAAUGUUUUUUAUUUUUGUUUAGUAAUAUUUGAAUUGAAUAAUGGAGUUAUUCGUGUUUGUUUUUUCUCCUCCCUGAUUCUAGAUAAAUCCUAGAGCUCUCUUGUUUGGUCAUACAGCAUCAAUCACUUGUUUAUCCAAAGCCAGUUCUUCAAGUGAAAAACAGUAUAUAGUGAGUGCAUCUGAAAGCGGAGAAAUGUGCCUUUGGGAUGUGAAUGAUGGAAGGUGCAUUGAAUUUACAAAGUUAGCCUGCACUCAUACUGGCAUACAGUUCUAUCAAUUCACAGUUGGGACUCAGCGUGAAGGGAGAUUGUUGUGUCAUGGCCAUUAUCCAGAAAUUCUUGUUAUGGAUGCUACCAGCCUUGAAGUUCUUUAUUCCUUGGUGUCAAAGAUUUCUAAGGACUGGAUCAGUUCUAUGAGCAUUAUUCGAUCUCACAGAACACAAGGUGAGCCAAUAACCACAGUCCAGGUUCUUAUUUUUUAGGAAUUGUCUUGGCAACCAUUAAUAAUAAUAAUAACAACAGCAACAACAACAACAUAUGGAACUUGUAUGCCAUCUGACUUUAAACAACACUGCUUCACAA